AUUGAACGCUGGCGGAAUGCUUUACACAUGCAAGUCGAACGGUAGAGGGGGCAACCCCUCGAGAGUGGCGAACGGGUGAGUAAUAUAUCGGAACGUGCCCAGUCGUGGGGGAUAACGUAGCGAAAGUUACGCUAAUACCGCAUACGAUCUAAGGAUGAAAGCGGGGGACUCGCAAGAGCCUCGCGCGAUUGGAGCGGCCGAUAUCAGAUUAGGUAGUUGGUGGGGUAAAGGCUCACCAAGCCAACGAUCUGUAGCUGGUCUGAGAAGACGACCAGCCACACUGGAACUGAGACACGGUCCAGACUCUUACGGGAGGCAGCAGUGGGGAAUUUUGGACAAUGGACGCAAGUCUGAUCCAGCCAUUCCGCGUGCAGGAUGAAGGCCCUCGGGUUGUAAACUGCUUUUGUACGGAACGAAAAGGUUUCUAUUAAUACUAGGAGCUCAUGACGGUACCGUAAGAAUAAGCACCGGCUAACUACGUGCCAGCCGCCGCCGUAA
rnacentral:rRNA from 1 species